rnacentral:rRNA from 1 species
UAAAGUGGCGCACGGGUGAGUAACACGUGACUAACCUGCCCUUGAGUGGGGGAUAACCUAGGGAAACCUGGGCUAAUACCGCAUAAUAUCGAGAGAUCAAAGGAGCAAUUCGCUUAAGGAGGGGGUCGCGGCUGAUUAGCUAGUUGGUAGGGUAACGGCCUACCAAGGCUAUGAUCAGUAUCCGGCCUGAGAGGGCGCACGGACACACUGGAACUGAAACACGGCCAG